GACMGACAAUAUACCGAGGGUUUUUUUCCCUACUCUGGGUGGACGUUUUUGGCGUCCUUACCUCGGAUUGUGGACUCCCGGGUGCGGYAACAGUCCGUAGACCAGCUUCCGUCCCUUAUCCGAGUUGGGUGGGGGACUACCAGAUCUGACACCCACGCGGACCUGCCCUCGGCCAGAAAGCUUGGGGCGCAACUUGCGUUCAAAGACCCCMUGGUUCAGGGGAUUCUGCAAUUCACACCAAGUAUCGMAUUUCGCUACGUUCUUCAUCGAUGCGAGAUCCCAGAUAUCCGUUGCCUAAAGACCUUAUAGAAUUGAGUUUGUUGCUGUGCUUCGGCGAACCCCCCGAACCCUGGGCUACUAAAACUAGCUGUUUACUUCAAUGUUUCUUGACAAUUUUCCUGCCGGGGGUUUGUGASAUCCCGACGCCCCCCGCAUGACCUUGGCCGAGAAAAGAAUCUGGACU
rnacentral:misc_RNA from 1 species